CCCUUAGAUGUUCGGGGCUGCACAUGCGCUACACUGAAGGAAUCAACGUGUAUUUGCCCUUGCCCGAAAGGGUUGGGUAACCCGUUGAACCUCCUUCGCGCUAGGGAUUGGGGCUUGUAAUUAUUCCCCAUGAACGAGGAAUUCCCAGUAAGCGCGAGUCAUAAGCUCGCGUUGAUUACGUCCCUGCCCUUUGUACACACCGCCCGUCGCUACUACCGAUUGAAUGGUUUAGUGAGAUCCUCGGAUUGGUCCCGCCACGGGAGGAAACUUUCGAGGCGGAGUGCCGAGAAGACGAUCAAACUUGAUCAUUUAGAGGAAGUAAAAGUCGUAACA
rnacentral:rRNA from 1 species